rnacentral:tRNA from 1 species
GCCUGGGUGGCUCAGUCGGUUUAAGCGUCUGACUUCAGCUCAGGUCAUGAUCUCCCAGUUUGUGGGUUCGAGUCCUGCAUCUGGCU